AGCGAACGCUGGCGGCAGGCCUAACACAUGCAAGUCGAACGAACCUUUCGGGGUUAGUGGCGGACGGGUGUGUAACACGUGGGAACGUGCCUUUAGGUUCGGAAUAACUCAGGGAAACUUGUGCUAAUACCGAAUGUGCCCUUCGGGGGAAAGAUUUAUCGCCUUUAGAGGGGCCCGCGUCUGAUUAGCUAGUUGGUUGAGGUAAUGGCUCACCAAGGCGACGAUCAGUAGCUGGUCUGAGAGGCAGGUCAGCCACAUUGGGACUGGGACACGGCCCAAACUCCUACGGGAGGCAGCAGUGGGGAAUCGUGCGCAAUGGGCGAAAGCCUGACGCAGCCAUGCCGCGUGAAUGAUGAAGGUCUUAGGAUUGUAAAAUUCUUUCACCGGGGACGAUAAUGACGGUACCCGGAGAAGAAGCCCCGGCUAACUUCGUG
rnacentral:rRNA from 1 species